UCGCUCCUACCGAUUGAGUGGUUCGGUGAACUUUUUGGACUGCGUGCACUCAAGUGCGUGCGGAAAGUUAAUUAAACCAUAUCACUUAGAGGAAGGAA
rnacentral:rRNA from 1 species